GAUCAUGGCUCAGGAUGAACGCUGGCGGCGUGCUUAACACAUGCAAGUCGAGCGAAGCACCUAAGAAAGAUUCUUCGGAUGAAUUAUUUUGUGACUGAGCGGCGGACGGGUGAGUAACGCGUGGGUAACCUGCCUCAUACAGGGGGAUAACAGUUAGAAAUGACUGCUAAUACCGCAUAAGACCACGGUACUGCAUGGUACAGUGGUAAAAACUCCGGUGGUAUGAGAUGGACCCGCG
rnacentral:rRNA from 1 species